rnacentral:tRNA from 1 species
GGAAAGUUCUGGGCCUGGUGAAACCCUCAAUGCACUCGCCUUGAAAGCGAGCGUGCCUAAACAGCACCGGGGGUUCAAAUCCCUCCGCUUCCG